rnacentral:rRNA from 1 species
AUUGAACGCUGGCGGCAGGCCUAACACAUGCAAGUCGAGCGAGCGGCGGACGGGUGAGUAAUGUAUGGGGACUGCCUGAUAGAGGGGGAUAACUACUGGAAACGGUGGCUAAUACCGCAUACUAUCGGAUAACCCAUAUGGGAUUAGCUAGUAUGUGGGGUAAAGGCUCACCUAGGCGACGAUCGCUAGCUGGUCUGAGAGGAUGAUCAGCCACACGGGGACGGAGACACGACACAGACUCCUACGGAGGCAGCAGUGGGGAAUAUUGGACAAGGGGCGCAAGCCUGAUGCAGCCAUGCCGCGUGUAUGAAGAAGGCCUUAGGGUUGUAAAUGACUUUCAGCGGGGAGGCGUUACCCGCAGAAGAAGCACCGGCUAACUCAGUGACAGCAGCCGCGGUAAUUC